GAUUUUAUUGAGGAAACAAAAGCCCCAUGGAGGUCAAAUUCCACCAGCAUGAAAAAGGCGACUGCUCCUUAUAAUUUCUGGAAGCUGCGGCCAGCAGUUGGAAAGACAGCGUUAGCAAUAGCAUCACCAAGCCCUGAGAAUGCAGCUGUAAAGGGACUUCGGGAUUCUACAGGACGAAAGCUUCCACUGGAAGGUGAGGGCACAAUGUCUGCUUCUUUGCAGUGAACCUGAUUUUCCUGAUCUGUACGGGCAGGCUUCCCUUCCUCACAAGGCACUUGGCAGGCUGCAAAGGAAGGAUGGCAUAAAGUCUUUUGUGCCUAGAAGAUUCUCAGUCAUGGCACCAAUAUCUUCUCGUUCUCCUGAAAGUGGAAAUCCUAAACCUACAGAGAAUCAGAGAUGUGGAAAUAAAUUCUGCUCUUAGAGGCCACGUGACUGGUGCCCAGCCACUCAGCUGCCCAGUCUGGAAGGGGAAGAGUCACUCUGCUGCUACCGGCUUAAAGUGUAAACAUGUGCCCACAGUGUUUCUACUGACAGCACCCGAGGUGCUGGGAGAACAGCCUUCGCUUGCAGGAACAGUGGCUCUCCUGGAAAAGCCAGCUUGCUUGGCUGGAGUUGAGCCAGCAGAGCUGGCUCUCGCCCUGGCAAAUUCUCUAUCACUCCAAGGUCUAGGAGACUGGGAAAACUGGCCAGCGUCAGGGGGCCUCCCUCUGUACCAGCCUCCGGGUUCUUGCUCAGGGUGCUGGUUGGUGGCCUAGAAUACAACCGGUUUGAAUUCACCUCUUUCCACCGCCUGCAUUCACAGGACAACUUACCUCUCACCUUACCGUGUUUCUAGAAGAGCACAGUUCUGAAUUCAGAAGUUACCAAGGAAUCGGUUUGGACACUAUCCAGUGUUUAUGGGCAUCUUAAAUUCUUUGUUCUCUGUGGCCUAAAUGAAUUGGAAAUUCAAACUGGACUUCAAUCAAAUUUGGCAUAAAGACCAGGACAGCAAACUUGUCCACUCUUUCCACAAAAAGAAGCAACCGCUGCUGGGGUUCAAGGAUCUGAAACCCAGGCACUGCCACCGAGAAUCUGAGGCUAAGAAGAAGUCAGGUGAGUUGGCCAGGGGAUCAGAUAUGCUGAUUGGCUGAAGAGAAUCAAGGACCAUCCCUAGAUCUGGAAGCAGGAUCAUGAUGCCAACCAAACCACAUUUGGAGGCGUUACUUUACCAGAAGAGUGAAAAAAUGCCAAGUUGCACAAACACCCAACCAGUACAGUCCACCCCCUUUAACUGCCCAAUAUCCACACCCACCUGCAUCCCCAUAAAUACACCUCAAAAAAUCCCCACUCCCUCUAUGAACUCUUUUUCCAAAAGAGACAAGCCAUGAUUUCAUGUAGUCUGGUUCUCUAGGUGAUAGACGGUCCUCGUGGAGGGAGCUGCUAUGGUCCUAUGCGGUCCAGUGAAGCUCAGUGGUAAAUUUAAUCACCACUGAUGCAUUUAGUAAACAGCAAUGGAGAACAGGGUAAUUGCACUAAAAACUCUCAUUUGGAAAAGGAAAGGACAGGAUACAACUGUCAACGGUCACCCUGUCAUAUUCUGCCAGAAAUCACAUGGAUGUCCUUCUGCGAAACAAGUACCUGUCCUCCCUAGUGCUGUCCUCCGGAAGGCUCCUCUUUGCCCUUUGCCCUCUGUGGCCCCUGCUGUCUCUUUGGGGAAAUCCCUCCUGUGUUAACCUUCACAGACCAUGAGACAUGUGCAUCAAGGGCGGUGCCCCUUUUGGGAGCUGCACUGUUCUAUCAGCUCUCUUCCUGCUGCUGUGAGUCUGGGAGCCUGGAAAUCACCAUUGUAGACUGCCGUGGAGCAGGCUUGUGGUUCCUCUGGCAAAAUGAUGCCCUUAAAAAGUGAAUGGGGUCCUGCUUUAUUGCUUCUGGCAAAUGCCAUGGAUGGUAGCAAGAGUCAGGGAUCUUACCAUGCCAUAGGCUUUCAACUAGAACUGCCUGGGGACAGCUGUGGCCUGGCAAUAGGCCCAGGUGCUCUAGCCAUCCUUUAGUAUCUGUCUUGGCCUCUACUUGAGAAUAAUCUAGAACACCGGGCUAGGUGGGGAUGACACGGAUGACCCUUUCCUCGCAAUAACAACUAAAAUGUUAGAAGCAACAUUUAUUGAUUGCUUACUAUGGGGCGGGCACUGUUCUAAAGUCUGAAUCCUCACUGUAACCCUAUGAGACAGGAACCAUUAUCAUCUCCCCUUUGCAAACACUGGUCAUGGAGCAGUAAAGAAUCUGCUGUCAUGCAGUGGGGCAGCAAUGCAAACCCAGGCAUGCUGGCUCCGUGGUCCCAGUGGAGCACUGACUGCUGUUGUGUUGUUCACUGGCUACUUCCUGUGGCAUCUUCCCAAGGGGCGUGCUGACUUCUUUGAGGCAUCAGGAGGUGCCUGGGAGAGACCCCUCCUGCUUGCUGUCUCUGUCCCUAUUAUGGAGCUUCUUCUAACUUUCUUCUUCCAAGUAACUUUCUUCUGCUAACUUUGGUUUGAGGGUAGAGAAUUGAGAUUUUCCUGGAUUCCCAGACAAUUGUAACUGUAAACCAUUGGCAAAAAGGCAACUCUUAGCAAAUCUGUAUUUUCUUCCCUUCUCUUACUGUUGGAUGGGAUCAGGUUUCGUUUAAUCGAAUCAUCCUUGGAAGACCUUGCUGAAGAAGUUACCAGCACACUCCAAAAUUUGAA